GGACCAAGGAGUCUAGCAUGUGCGCGAGUCAUUGGGAACACCUAAACCUAAAGGCGCAAUGAAAGUGAAGGUUCCGCCUCGAGCGGACCGAGGGAGGAUGGGCGGCGGUUUAUGUACGUCGCCCCGCACUCCCGGGGCGUCUCGCACUCAUCGCGAGGCGAGGCGCACCACGAGCGUACACGCUGGGACCCGAAAGAUGGUGAACUAUGCCUGGUCAGGACGAAGUCAGGGGAAACCCUGAUGGAGGUCCGUAGCGAUUCUGACGUGCAAAUCGAUCGUCGGAACUGGGUAUAGGGGCGAAAGACUAAUCGAACCAUCUAGUAGCUGGUUCCCUCCGAAGUUUCCCUCAGGAUAGCUGGCACUCGAGCGAAUGGAUAGUUGAACGCACGAGUCUCAUCCGGUAAAGCGAAUGAUUAGAGGCAUUGGGGUCGAAAAGGCCUCAACCUAUUCUCAAACUUUAAAUGGGUGAGAUCUCCGGCUUGCUUGAAAUGAAGCCGGAGAUCGGAUCAACGGGUGCCAAGUGGGCCACUUUUGGUAAGCAGAACUGGCGCUGUGGGAUGAACCAAACGUCGAGUUAAAGCGCCAAAAUCGACGCUUAUGGGACACCAUGAAAGGCGUUGGUAACUUAAGACAGCAGGACGGUGGCCAUGGAAGUCGGA
rnacentral:rRNA from 1 species